GUUAGCUGCAGAAGAAGCACCGGCUAACUCCGUGCCAGCAGCCGACGGUAAUACGGAGGGUGCGAGCGUUAAUCGGAAUUACUGGGCGUAAAGCGCAUGCAGGUGGUUUGUUAAGUCAGAUGUGAAAGCCCCGGGGCUCAACCUCGGAAUUGCAUUUGAAACUGGCAGACUAGAGUACUGUAGAGGGGGUAGAAUUUCAGGUGUAGCGGUGAAAUGCGUAGAGAUCUGAAGGAAUACCGGUGGCGAAGGCGGCCCCCUGGACAGAUACUGACACUCAGAUGCGAAAGCGUGGGGAGCAAACAGGAUUAGAUACCCUGUAG
rnacentral:rRNA from 1 species